UGUGGUGUGGAGUCGUGGCAUCGCCAUGUUUGAGUUCAGCUCAAACAGCACCUCAUUUUUGAGAAAGAGGAUAGGAACAAAGGUGGAGGAGUGGAAACUGGUGUAUGUGUAGAUUGAGCAGAGAUUGUACUAGCUCCAGUUGUGUUCCUCUUCAUGAAGAUUUUGGACCUUCAUUGAGACGAGGCACAACCCCGUGAGGAUCCAGAGGCAUCUUAAGAUGUACCAGCUCAAGUUGGAUUCCUCUUCAUGAAGAUUUCGGACUUUCGAAGAGAAGUUGCCAACACCAAGAGGAUUUUGAGAAGAACCACCUCUUAAUUAAAACACAAAAUAACAAACUA